rnacentral:tRNA from 1 species
UCCGAGGUAGCUCAAUGGUGGAGCAAUCGGCUGUUAACCGAUAGGCUGUGGGUUCGAGCCCCACCCUCGGAGCCA